AACGAACGCUGGCGGCAUGCCUAACACAUGCAAGUCGAACGAGACCUUCGGGUCUAGUGGCGCACGGGUGCGUAACGCGUGGGAAUCUACCCUCAGGUUCGGAAUAACUCAGAGAAAUUUGAGCUAAUACCGGAUGAUGACGUAAGUCCAAAGAUUUAUCGCCUGAGGAUGAGCCCGCGUAGGAUUAGGUAGUUGGUGAGGUAAAGGCUCACCAAGCCGACGAUCCUUAGCUGGUCUGAGAGGAUGAUCAGCCACACUGGGACUGAGACACGGCCCAGACUCCUACGGGAGGGAGGAGUGGGGAAUAUUGGACAAUGGGCGAAAGCAUGAUCCAGCAAUGCCGCGUGAGUGAUGAAGGCCUUAGGGUUGUAAAGCUCGUUUACCCGGGAUGAUAAUGACAGUACCGGGAGAAUAAGCGCCGGCUAACUCCGUG
rnacentral:rRNA from 1 species